GUCCACGCCGUAAACGAUGGAUGCUAGCCGUUGGUAAGCAUGCUUAUCAGUGGCGCAGCUAACGCAUUAAGCAUCCCGCCUGGGGAGUACGGCCGCAAGGUUGAAACUCAAAGGAAUUGACGGGGGCCCGCACAAGCGGUGGAGCAUGUGGUUUAAUUCGACGCAACGCGCAGAACCUUACCAGGCCUUGACAUCCCGUGCUAAGCUCAGAGAUGGGUGGUCCCCGCAAGGGGCGCGGAGACAGGUGCUGCAUGGCUGUCGU
rnacentral:rRNA from 1 species